rnacentral:rRNA from 1 species
UACGGAGGAUGCAAGCGUUAUCCGGAAUGAUUGGGCGUAAAGGGUCCGCAGGUGGCAGUGUAAGUCUGCUGUCAAAGAAUGAGGCUUAACCUUAUCAAGGCAGUGGAAACUACACAGCUAGAGUACGGUCGGGGUAGAAGGAAUUCCUGGUGUAGCGGUGAAAUGCGUAGAGAUCAGGAAGAACACCGGUGGCGAAAGCGGGUCUCUGGACAGUUUCUGACACUGAGGCACGAAGGCCAGGGGAGCAAACGGG